rnacentral:rRNA from 1 species
AGUGAACGCUGGCGGUAGGCCUAACACAUGCAAGUCGAACGGCAGCACAGUAAGAGCUUGCUCUUACGGGUGGCGAGUGGCGGACGAGUGAGGAAUACAUCGGAAUCUACUUUUUCGUGGGGGAUAACGUAGGGAAACUUACGCUAAUACCGCAUACGACCUACGGGUUAAAGCAGGGGAUCUUCGGACCUUGCGCGAUUGAAUGAGCCGAUGUCGGAUUAGCUAGUUGGCGGGGUAAAGGCCCACCAAGGCGACGAUCCGUAGCUGGUCUGAGAGGAUGAUCAGCCACACUGGAACUGAGACACGGUCCAGACUCCUACGGGAGGCAGCAGUGGGGAAUAUUGGACAAAGGGCGCAAGCCUGAUCCAGCCAUACCGCGUGGGUGAAGAAGGCCUUCGGGUUGUAAAGCCCUUUUGUUGGGAAAGAAAAGCAGCAGGUUAAUACCCCGCUGUUCUGACGGUACCCAAAGAAUAAGCACCGGCUAACUUCGUG